rnacentral:lncRNA from 7 species
GCGCGGCGAGAGCGGAGGGCUGAAGUCGGCUGCCAUUGGUUAGAAUGGAGCAGGGAAAAUGUGAUCUUCCUGACGCCGACUGUGCACGGGGAGCCCCGAAAGGAGCACUUUCUCUGCUCGUUUCCGCUGUGGAGCGCGCUGAGAGCUUCCCUGCCAUUAACGGGGGGGUGCUCGGCUCAGGGAGUCCGAGGCAGACGAGGAAAUGGCAUUAAAUAAUAAAGUGAAAACUACUAAUUAUGCUGGAAUGAGUUUUAGGAAGAUGGGUUUAACGUUCCCUGGGAGGCUUCUGUGAGGAAUGUAUCAUUUGGUAAAUGAUGGUGAUGAGAAUAUUGACGUCGCACACAUGAGGCUAUCAAUGCUGUCGUGCAGCGUCUCCAUCAGAAUAACCCCAAAGGAUGAGUCCGUGUUGGAGCCACAUCGUGCAUUUGUUACACAUCGUGCUGCAGCUAAAUAAUAACGCUCUUUUGCUCCUUUCAUUCAGGCUUUCCAACUCUGCCCCGUAACUCCAGGCAGUUGGUUAUGUGCACGUAGCAGGCGGCACCCAUCCAGAAUAUAUUUGUCCCAGCUUACGUUUACAUGAGGUCCUGCUACACUCGUACUAUUGCAGGGGUAGGAGCGGCAUUGCUGUAAAUGGAAGUUAGACCUGCAGGACCUUGCAGGCCGAAUUCAGUGUCACCCUGGCGCAAGCAGAGCCCACCUAAUUGCAUACUUCUUAAGAUCUCCAGACAAGUACAAAUAAGUACAAUUCCUCACCCACUGCCUAGAGGAGCCCUCGGCCUUCUCUGCUUGCACUGAGCAGGAGAAACGCAGUUCUGGGAGAGGUGCUGCAGCCGUGAGUCUCCAUAUGGUUUGUGUCAUUGCCCCAGGACGAAAGAGACAUCCAGGGUUUGGACGGUUUCUGGUGCUGUUCUUCUACGGCCUCCAUCCCAGCUGCCCACAUCAGAAGCAAAGCGAGGCCUUAACCCUUGGCAACUCCUAGCAGCUGAAAGGGCCAUCAGAACUGUUAGUAACCGCUUUGAUGUAAAGCAAAUAUUCCUUGAGCUUCUUUAAUCUGUUCCAAGGACUGAUGUACUGCUUACCAGCCUUGGUAUGAGCAAGGGGUCGUUACUGUAAUACGGUCAGUUGCUUGUCUCCAAAUUCAUCUUACCAAACAUCAUUUUGC